rnacentral:rRNA from 1 species
UAUGGAGGCAGCAGGCGCGCAACUUACCCAAUCUCGACUCGAGGAGGUAGUGACGAAAAAUAUCGGUAGGGGACUCAACGAGAUCUCGGUGCCGGAAUGUGCGCAUUAUAAGCCGCUGCGCGAGGAUCGAUUGGAGGGCAAGUCUGGUGCCAGCAGCCGCGGUAACUCCAGCUCCAAUAGUGUAUAUAUAUGUUGUUGCGGUUAAAACGCUCGUAGUUGGAUCUCGGGAUCGCUAGGCGGCGGCUAACAAGCAAGCGACUGGUCGUAUGCGCUUACGUGCUGGCCAGGGGUCUUCGCGGGGUCGCUGUCGUAAGAUCUCAUGUCAGCCGGAUUCUCCGCGGUUCGCCCCGGAGAGGCGGCGUUGCUACUUUGUAAAAAUUAGAGUGCUCAAGGCAGGCUGAACGCCCGCAUAGUGUUACAUGGAAUAGCCGAAGACGACUCCGGUCCCGAUUUCGCUGGCUUUUUGCGGGACACGAGGGUAAUGAUUGAGAGAGACGGUGCGGGGGUACUGGUACUGCUGCGUGAGAGGUGAAAUUCUUGGAUCGCAGCCUGACUGACCGAGGCGAAAGCAUCUACCAAGGACGUUUUCGUUAAUCAAGAACUAACGUUGGAGGUUCGAAGACGAUCAGAUACCGUCGUAGUUCUAACCCUAAGCUAUGCCAACUGGCCGCCCGCCAGAGUAGUGCUCAUCCGUCUGUUUGUGACCUCGCGGGUGGCUCGCCCCUAAAGGAAAGUCUUCGGGCUCCGGGGGAAGUAUGGUUGCAAAAGUGGAACUUAAAGGAAUUGACGGAAAGGCACCACCAGGAGUGGAGCCUGCGGCUUAAUUUGACUCAACACGGGGAAACUUACCCGGUCCGGACACUGGCAUGAUUGACAGACUGAAGCUCUUUCUUGAUCCAGGGGUUGGUGGUGCAUGGCCGUUCUUAGUUCGUGGAGCGAUCUGUCUGGUUAAUUCCGCUAACGUGACGAGACCCCGACCUGCCAAAUAGUUCGCUUCCGGGCGACCGGUCGCGAAGGCCAGAGCCUUGAAACAACCGCUCGGUUCCGGCGGCGGCGUUCGCGCUCGCUCGUCGGGCCGGCGUUCAAAGGUUUGUAGCGCCAAA